GCAAUGUAAAUGCGUGACUUUCAAACUUGCGUGACAUUUGCGUUACAGUUGGCCUUUGUGCCAUUUGAUUCCUUUAAAUAGUUUUUCUCUCCCGCUUUCAUUAAUCGCCUGUUCAUCCAAAGUUAAUUUAUAAAGUGUGAUUUCAAGCCACCGGCGUAUAGGGACUGAUAUUUUACGAGAUUGAUUGAAGUUAUGUCCCUGUAAUAUA